rnacentral:rRNA from 1 species
ACGGGUGAGUAACGCGUGGUCAACCUGCCCUUGAGCGGGGGAUAACUAGCCGAAAGGUUAGCUAAUACCGCAUACGUCUAGGAUGGCAUCAUCCAAAGAUAAAAGCCGCAAGGCACUCGAGGAGGGGACCGCGUCCCAUUAGCUAGUUGGUGGGGUAAUAGCCUACCAAGGCUCCGAUGGGUAGCUGGUUUGAGAGAGCGACCAGCCACACUGGGGCUGAGAAACGGCCCAG